UCUUCCCCGAUUUUUUCUGUUCACUGUCCUCGAAGGUCUCAAAUUGUUUGUCAUAGUUGAGUUCCUUACCUCUGCUUUCAAUGGCUGGUCGCUAUGUUUCUUCAUGGCCAAACAGAGGAGAUAUCGGCCGAGAGUUGUUCAUUAUCGCCAAGAAUGAAGAACUGCGAUUUUGCUGCAAUAUUAUUGAUCUUCAUCGGCAUUGGUUUCUACGAUUUCAACUCUUCUCACGAAUCAGGUGAGGAGUUAUAAGGAGUUGAGCGUUUGUUAACUCAUUUGUUUUGUAGGUUGGAGUAAGGACUGUAUAUGUAUGUGAAUGAAAUAGAAGUGUUGUCUUGAUGUAAAAUGAUGUGUAUGCCUUUAUACUUGUUUUAGCACUACACUCUUUACACACACAACCCGCGGUUAAAUCCCGACUGCAUCCUUAGGAAACCCUUAGGAGGUGUUGAGAAUUGAUUGGACCAUACGCAGUUUGCGCCAAUGGGACAAUCAUUCUCAAUCCCGCUCAUUUCCUCGAAAGAAUUAAGUCCGACCCACCCGCAAUUUGCGAUAUGGGAAAUGACUUACUAUUUCGUUGAGAUGGGAGCAUAGUACACCCUACAUUUUGGUGUCAAAACCUCACAAGUACUUCUGUGUGUCUCUGUAGUUGAAAAUUCGUCUCGCCAAAUCAUUGUGAGUAUAUUGCUUA